rnacentral:rRNA from 1 species
UACGGGGGGGGCAAGCGUUGUUCGGAAUUACUGGGCGUAAAGGGCUCGUAGGUGGCCAACUCAGUCAGACGUGAAAUCCCUCGGCUUAACCGGGGAACUGCGUCUGAUACUGGAUGGCUUGAGGUUGGGAGAGGGAUGCGGAAUUCCAGGUGUAGCGGUGAAAUGCGUAGAUAUCAGGAGGAACACCGAUGGCGAAGGCAGGUCUCUGGGCCACUACUGACGCUGAGAAGCGAAAGCAUGGGGAGCGAACAGG